AACUUUUAGCAAUGGAUCACUUGGCUCUCGCAUCGAUGAAGAACGCAGCGAAAUGCGAUACGUAAUGUGAAUUGCAGAAUUCCGUGAAUCAUCGCAUCUUUGAACGCACCUUGCGCCUCCUGGUAUUCCGAGGGGCAUGCCUGUUUGAGUGUCAUUGAAUCCUCAAAAAUAGAAAGCUUUUAAUGGUUUUCUCUCUUUUGGAAUUGGGGUGUGCUGGCCUUUUCUCGGAAAGCUUGGCUCCCCUGAAAUACAUUAGCGAUGUGACAUCCUCGUGCUCCGCGCUUCUCAGGCAUUGAUAGUAUUUUCAUGCUUAGAGCGUGUUCUGCAGCUGUGGAAAGUUUCGCUUGCUCACAACUGAUGGGUUUUAACCCAUCCUCUGACCAAUUUAACCACAAAUCAGGUAGGAUUACCCGCUGAAUUUAAGCAUAUCAGUAAGCGGAGGCU
rnacentral:misc_RNA from 1 species